AGCAGCCGCGGUAAUUCCAGCUCCAAUAGCGUAUAUUAAAGUUGUUGCAGUUAAAAAGCUCGUAGUUGAAUUUCGGGAUUAGUAAGUUGGUCGUGCCUCUGGUAUGUACUGGCUUUACUGGUUCCUCCUUCUUGAAGAACUGUAAUGUCAUUAAUUUGGUGUUGCAGGGAAACAGGACUGUUACUUUGAAAAAAUUAGAGUGUUUAAAGCAGGCUAACGCUUGAAUACAUUAGCAUGGAAUAAUGAAAUAGGACGUUUGAUCCUAUUUUGUUGGUUUCUAGGAUUGACGUAAUGAUUAAUAGGGAUAGUUGGGGGCAUUAGUAUUCAAUUGUCAGAGGUGAAAUUCUUGGAUUUAUUGAAGACUAACUACUGCGAAAGCAUUUGCCAAGGAUGUUUUCAUUAAUCAAGAACGAAAGUUAGGGGAUCGAAGACGAUCAGAUACCGUCGUAGUCUUAGCCAUAAACUAUGCCGACUAGGGAUCGGAUGAUGUUAAUUUUUUAAUGUCUCA
rnacentral:rRNA from 1 species